rnacentral:rRNA from 1 species
ACCUACGGGGCGCAGCAGUGGGGGAUAUUGCACAAUGGGGGGAACCCUGAUGCAGCGACGCCGCGUGGGUGAAGAAGUAUUUCCGUAUGUAAAGCCCUAUCGGCAGGGAAGAAAUUGGACGGUACCUGACUAAGAAGCCCUGGCUAACUACGUGCCAGCAGCCGCGGUAAUACGUAGGGGGCAAGCGUUAUCCGGAUUCACUGGGGGUAAAGGGAGCGUAGACGGCCAUGCAAGCCUGGAGGGAAAGCCCGGGGCCCAAACCCGGGACUGCUCUGGG